AUUAUGAGGAAUAGCAUGGAAAGCUUCACAAAGAUGGUGACAUCAGUUCUGGGCUCUGAAGGAUGAACAGCAAAUUUCCACAUGGAGAAGAUAACAUUUCAGGCUGAAGGAAAAGCCUUCGUUUCCCUUGGUCCUGAGCUGCCAGACAAGGAAAUCGCCUGUGUUCUUGUUGCAACGCUUGUAAUCAAAUUCAGCAAAGUGAAACAAAAAUCCUGUAAUGGAAGUGACCAUACAACUCUUUCCAGGAUGUUCCUGGACAGCUCUCCAACAUCCUGCAAUUAGCCUAAAUGGAUGAGCUCCAUGAAAGAAGAUGAAAUGAGGAUGACUCUGAAGUGAAAGAUGCUUCAUUUGAAAAUGGAAAGAAGGACAUGGUGAUGCAUGAAUGUACUUCUACCAUUGAGAAAAUAGAAACAGGAGAACCUGAAACUCAAGGGCAUCCUCAGUUACAUAGUGGACAUGGGUCAUCUUGUGUUACAUGAGACCUGCUCUCAAACAAACAAACAAAAAAAAUGGACAUAAUUAAAAUAGUGUAUUCAAAAAUAUAUGAAAUAUUAAAAUGUAAAGUCUGAGGCUUA